GUGGGGAAUUUUGGACAAUGGGGGGAACCCUGAUCCAGCCAUGCCGCGUGUGUGAAGAAGGCCUUUUGGUUGUAAAGCACUUUAAGCGAGGAGGAGGCUACCGAGAUUAAUACUCUUGGAUAGUGGACGUUACUCGCAGAAUAAGCACCGGCUAACUCUGUGCCAGCAGCCGCGGUAAUACAGAGGGUGCAAGCGUUAAUCGGAUUUACUGGGCGUAAAGCGCGCGUAGGUGGCCAAUUAAGUCAAAUGUGAAAUCCCCGAGCUUAACUUGGGAAUUGCAUUCGAUACUGGUUGGCUAGAGUAUGGGAGAGGAUGGUAGAAUUCCAGGUGUAGCGGUGAAAUGCGUAGAGAUCUGGAGGAAUACCGAUGGCGAAGGCAGCCAUCUGGCCUAAUACUGACACUGAGGUGCGAAAGCAUGGGGAGCAAACAGGAUUAGAAACCCUGGUAGUCC
rnacentral:rRNA from 1 species